CUUCUCCAGCAGCAGAGGUGAGGUUGCUGCCUAAUUACUACCAGGUGGAAGCAGAAGUUUAGGUUUCCCAGUUGGCCUCUGUUGACACCUGGUGGGAGGGUGGGAUUUCAUUGUAUUUGCUGGGUGGAAGUGGAAUUCUGGUUCCCUAUGUGGUCUCUAUGGACACAGCUGUGGGAGUGUUCUUGUUCCUGAUAGAAAUGACUUUUCACUCGGCCUCUUGGGACAACAUUCCGGUACGUUGUUUCUGCAGCUGCCUGCCUUAGGUCAGACCUCAGCUUUGCCAUUUCUGACUGCUGUGUGGAGAAUUGUUGCUGAAAAGAGGCUGCCCAGACAAUACCUCAAUUUCCCAG
rnacentral:lncRNA from 10 species